GGAGGCUAAUAUACCACCCUGAAAAUGUCCCAUCUUGUCUGAUUUCGCUGAGCAGGGUUGGGCCUAGUUAGUACCUGGAUGGGAGACCACUGGGAAUGCAAGUAUAAACACUU
rnacentral:rRNA from 1 species